UCCACACACAAGCCACAAAGAAGCCAUCAGCCGCGGUCAACAUCACCUUCCUGAUUGAACAGAACCACGCGUUGUCUGUGUGGUUUACAAGUUUCUUGGCGAUAUGGGGGAAAAGUUCCUCACAUACCAACGGAAAAUGGGCGUCAUAUACAUGUAAGUACAUUUUACUCAACUGUGGUUUAAAGUUUCAGUACUCAAGAGCGAUUGAAUAGCUCCUCUGAACACAGAUCCGCCAUUGCUAAGUUAUGGCACAGCCGUUUUACAUAGCUGGUAGCUCAAGUCCCCUCAAUGUGACUACACUAGUUGCUGCUGUACGCUAGUAAAUUCUGAUGACUUGCGAGCAUCGUAAUGACAAAAUGCUGUGGUGAAACGGUGAAUAUGUUAAGUAUACUUGUUGAUGGUAAAUUGUUUGACAUUGCUCGUUCUCAGUUGCCUUUCCCCUGCCUAAAGAUAGACAAAGGCUACCGUUAGCAUGCUAUUGCGUUAGCUCAUCAACUAGAUUCUGGGCACUGCUCAUUUUUCACGUCUGCCCGGUAUUUCGCUGAUGAACUAACGCUUAGACGCCUUGCCAAUGUAUUUUACAGCGGCAAAAAUGCAUAGGCGACGUUGGAAAGACUGGUGUGCCGUCUGGGUAUGUUGGUUUUCAGUGCUGGGCAGUAGCGAAGCGACUAAUUUAAUUACAUUCUCUAGUAGCUUGGUCGUAGCGUCACUACUAUGUAUCGAGUAGCUAACAUCCCUGUAGUAAUGCUAUUUUUCCUCAAGUAGCGACGUUUUUGUCCCCCAUCGAUUUUACUCAAUGAUUUUUGUUUUACUUUCUCUAUCCUGAAACCUAGGCAGUCACACAGGGGUUCCAAGACCCACCGGCGUAAAAUCAAGUCAAAGGCUGCUGUCUCAUAAUAUGGCGAAGACGAGUCACCUGAAGGCCUAACUCGCCAUAGAAGACUGAAAGAAUUGUCCUGCAGGAUGCUGUGUCCUGCAAUCCUGUGUACUGUGCUACAGACGCACGUGGAGGUCAACCCAAAAUGGGCACAGUCUCACCGCAGAAGAGUGAAAGAGGAUCCUGGCAGGGAGACGGUAGUGUCCUGCAGAAUGGUGAUGGGCCAAUCUUACAAGAGACCACAGAAAACUGAUAUAGUGAACUAUAGAAACAACAGUGCCUGCUGCAGUAUAAUGAGGACACCCUGAGCAGAGGGCUCCAAUAGACCCAGGUCCAGUGUCUUGGCAGGGUGAAAUGGCACUGAUAUGGUGUCCUGCAGGAUGCUGUGUCCUGCAAUCCUGUGUGCUGUGCUACAGACGCGUGUGGAGGUCAACCCAAAAUGGGCACAGUCUCACCACAGAAGAGUGAAAGAGGCUUUAAAACUUAAGGCCACCGCUAUGGAGGGAGCGGCUGCAACCGCCACCAGCGCAGCAGCUGCCCAACAAGCUCGACCCUCCGAUUCCUCCACCUCCAGCUCCUCCACCUCCUCUUCAAGUGACUCGGAGCCAGAGAGGAAGAGAAAGAAGAGGAACAAGAGAGACAGGAAAAAGAGAGAGAAGAAGAGGAUGGAGAAGAAGCAGAAGAAGAGGAAGAAGGACAAGCACAGACAGACAGAAGGAGAGAACUUGCGAACACUUGCACCCUAUUGCGGAGCUCGCCUUCAGGUGGGCACAUGCAGAAAAUUGAACAGCUUAAUGAUUAACAACGAUUUUUAGAACCUGAACAAGGACUGCCUGCUUACCUUUUUUUUUUUCAUCUUUUUGAAAUAUCUAGCAGGUCCCCCUUUCUUUUCAGUUGCUGUAUCUCCUGCAUGUGCCCACCUGAUUCACACUGUGUGGCACAGUCCUUGGCGAAGUUAAAUAAACUAUCACCAGGAAGAUAUGUCUCCCUAAUUUCCAUGUAAUCAUCAGGGCUGACCGUUGCAAGCUCCGCAAUAGGGGCUUGGUUGCAGAUGGUAUUUCUGUCGAUCGGAAUUUUUUCGUACGCCGCCGUCUUGCUUAAACCCUUUCUCACCAGCCUGACCACCUCCAUAUAGCGGGGGGCUAGCGGGAGCUGUCUGUAAAAUAUCUGUAUUUUGUUUGUAUAUUUUACAGUAUCACCGCGGAAGGGCCUCUGCUACAUGGCGAAGAAAAAAAUAGGUCUUUGGCAUUUUAGGGAUAAGAAACGAGCGGAGGUGUCCCAUCCUGUGGCUGGUGAGGAGAAGAGGACGGGAGAAUCUUAUCCCAAUUGUGGUCAAGCAUGUGCGUCCAGGAGCCACCCUGAUCAGUGAUGAGUGGCGAGCAUACAGAGGCGCAUUAGCUGCCAUUGGCUACACUCACUUCACUGUUAACCAUUCAAGAUGGUUUGUUGAUCCAAACAGUGGGGCCCAUACACAGCACCUUGAGAGGGGUUACUGCCACACUUAUUGAAUGUGUGUGUGUGUGUGUGUGUGUGUGUGUGUGUGUGU